rnacentral:rRNA from 1 species
UAGUGAGUUUGAUCCUGGCUCAGGAUGAACGCUAGCGGCAGGCCUAAUACAUGCAAGUCGAACGGUCUCAGGCAAUGGGAUAGUGGCAAACGGGUGCGUAACGCGUAAAUAACCUGCCCCAAACUGGAGAUAGCUUUGCGAAAGCGGAGGUAAUACCCAUAGUCUGGCUGGAUCACCUGGUCUGGUCAGUAAAGCAGCGAUGUGGUUUAGGAGGAUUUGCGUCUGAUUAGCUAGUUGGGGGUAUGGCCCACAAGGCGAUGAUC